GCGGGUAUGGUUUAGUGGUAGAACAUCUCCCUUCCAAGGAGAAGGUGCGGGUUCGAUUCCCGCUACCCGCU
rnacentral:tRNA from 1 species